rnacentral:rRNA from 1 species
GACGGAGGGUGCUAGCGUUGUUCGGAAUUACUGGGCGUAAAGGGCGCGUAGGCGGCCGCUUGCGUCGGAUGUGAAAGCCCGGGGCUCAACCCCGGAACGGCAUCCGAUACGGGGCGGCUGGAGACCGGGAGAGGAGGGUGGAAUAGCCAGUGUAGAGGUGAAAUUCGUAGAUAUUGGCUGGAACACCGGUGGCGAAAGCGGUUCUCUGGCCCGGUUCUGACGCUGAGGCGCGAAAGCGUGGGGAGCAAACAGG